GGCUCGCUAGCUCAACUGAAUAGAGCAUCUGACUACGGAUCAGAAGGUUGUGGGUUUGAAUCCCGCGCGAGUCA
rnacentral:tRNA from 1 species